rnacentral:rRNA from 1 species
GAUGAACGCUGGCGGCGUGCUUAACACAUGCAAGUCGAACGGUGAACACGGAGCUUGCUCUGUGGGAUCAGUGGCGAACGGGUGAGUAACACGUGAGCAACCUGCCCCUGACUCUGGGAUAAGCGCUGGAAACGGCGUCUAAUACUGGAUAUGUGACGUGAUCGCAUUGUCUGCGUCUGGAAAGAAUUUCGGUUGGGGAUGGGCUCGCGGCCUAUCAGCUUGUUGGUGAGGUAAUGGCUCACCAAGGCGUCGACGGGUAGCCGGCCUGAGAGGGUGACCGGCCACACUGGGACUGAGACACGGCCCAGACUCCUACGGGAGGCAGCAGUGGGGAAUAUUGCACAAUGGGCGCAAGCCUGAUGCAGCAACGCCGCGUGAGGGAUGACGGCCUUCGGGUUGUAAACCUCUUUUAGCAGGGAAGAAGCGAAAGUGACGGUACCUGCAGAAAAAGCGCCGGCUAACUACGUG